UGGGCUUCACACAUUGUACCCAUGUGGGGAAUCGAACCCGGGUCUUCGGAAUGACGAACGAACGCUUUAACCACUAAGCUACCCCACGGUUCCAACUACCGAAUGAAUAAGGUUAAGAAACACACUGAUAAAUGCUUUUGAGCUUAUAACGAAACGAUACCAGUGGUGGCAAUAAAGUUGUGUCCCCAAAAAUAGCGGUGAAAGUUAUAUGAGCGGAUCCCUGUCAUUCAGUGAUGACACCAGGUGUUUGCGAAUGGUGUCCUUCCUAACCAAUCGUACCCGCCGUCCACACACGCCUCAAUAAGUGUUUGCCUUUCUAUGAGUUUCGUUUACCGUAAUACACAACAAUAUUCCUUCUAUAUGACAGAACCUGUCGUUGUCUCAGACUGCCAGGCCCAGAGCAAUAGACAACCAUGCUUCGGAACAUGCUCUAAAUACAGCGAUUCUCGAGGUAACACAGGCUGUAUUCUCUAAAUACAGCGAUUCUCGAGGUAACACAGGCUGUAUUCUCUAAAUACAGCGAUUCUCGAGGUAACACAGGCUGUAUUCUCUAAAUACAGCGAUUCUCGAGGUAACACAGGCUGUAUUCUCUAAAUACAGCGAUUCUCGAGGUAACACAGGCUGUAUUCUCUAAAUACAGCGAUUCUCGAGGUAACACAGGCUGUAUUCUCUAAAUACAGCGAUUCUCGAGGUAACACAGGCUGUAUUCUCUAAAUACAGCGAUUCUCGAGGUAACACAGGCUGUAUUCUCUAAAUACAGCGAUUCUCGAGGUAACACAGGCUGUAUUCUCUAAAUACAGCGAUUCUCGAGGUAACACAGGCUGUAUUCUCUAAAUACAGCGAUUCUCGAGGUAACACAGGCUGUAUUCUCUAAAUACAGCGAUUCUCGAGGUAACACAGGCUGUAUUCUCUAAAUACAGCGAUUCUCGAGGUAACACAGGCUGUAUUCUCUAAAUACAGCGAUUCUCGAGGUAACACAGGCUGUAUUCUCUAAAUACAGCGAUUCUCGAGGUAACACAGGCUAUGGUACAAAUGCUUUACCUGUAAAAAUUACACCCGG
rnacentral:lncRNA from 1 species